CCAAUUCCGAUAUGAGAGGUUCUAGGGUUUCUAUGUCCGCAAAGCACCCGCAGCGAGAGGUAUCCAGGCGCCUCUCUUCUUCCAUCCUUCUCACCUCCCAUUAGGGUUCGUUCGUCGUAGGUUUAUUUGACGCGGGAGCCUCCUCUCUGCUUCUCUCUGUGAGCGGGGUUCCGUUUUGGAUCGGCGCGAGGGCGAUCUGCUUGUCUAGAGUAGGGGGGAGCGAUGGCGGAUCGAUUGACUCGUAUCGCCAUAGUCAGCUCCGAUCGCUGCAAGCCCAAGAAAUGCCGCCAGGAGUGCAAGAAGAGCUGCCCCGUCGUGAAAACAGGAAAACUUUGUAUAGAAGUCACUCCGGCAUCAAAAAUUGCUUUCAUUUCUGAGGAGUUAUGCAUCGGAUGUGGUAUCUGUGUCAAGAAAUGCCCUUUUGAGGCAAUUCAGAUUAUCAACUUACCAAAGGAUUUAGAUAAAGAUACAACCCAUCGCUAUGGACCAAAUACCUUCAAGUUGCACAGGUUACCAGUUCCAAGACCUGGGCAAGUGUUGGGCCUAGUUGGAACAAAUGGUAUUGGCAAGUCGACUGCCCUUAAGGUGUUGGCUGGGAAGUUGAAACCCAACUUGGGUCGAUACAAUAAUCCUCCUGAUUGGCAGGAAAUUUUGACAUAUUUCCGAGGAUCUGAGCUCCAGAAUUAUUUUACACGCAUUCUGGAGGACAAUCUGAAGGCAAUUAUUAAGCCCCAGUAUGUUGAUCACAUUCCCAAAGCUGUUCAAGGGAAUGUCGGUCAGGUGCUUGACCAAAAAGAUGAGAGAGAUAUGAAGGCUGAACUGUGCAUUGAUCUCGAGUUGAAUCAGGUUAUUGAUCGUAAUGUGGGCGAUUUAUCUGGUGGAGAGUUGCAGAGAUUUGCAAUUGCUGUAGUUGCUAUACAAAAUGCAGAAAUUUAUAUGUUUGAUGAGCCAUCAAGUUAUCUUGAUGUAAAACAGAGGCUUAAAGCUGCACAAGUUGUUCGGUCCUUGCUCAGGCCUAAUAGCUAUGUGAUUGUCGUGGAGCACGACCUCAGUGUCCUAGAUUACUUAUCAGAUUUCAUUUGUUGCUUGUACGGGAAACCAGGAGCUUAUGGAGUUGUUACUCUACCGUUUUCUGUCCGAGAAGGAAUUAACAUUUUCUUGGCCGGUUUUGUUCCUACAGAAAAUCUCCGUUUUCGAGAUGAAUCUCUCACAUUUAAGGUUGCCGAGACUCCUCAAGAGAGUGGUGAGGAGAUCCAGGGCUACCAACGAUACAGAUACCCUACCAUGAGUAAAACACAGGGUAAUUUCAAGUUAUCUGUGAUCGGGGGUGAAUUUACUGAUUCUCAGAUCAUUGUCAUGCUGGGUGAAAAUGGAACUGGAAAGACAACAUUUAUUCGGAUGCUGGCUGGAUUGUUAAAGCCUGAUGUGGUGGAAGAUGCAGAUGUUGAAAUACCUGAAUUCAAUGUUUCAUAUAAGCCUCAAAAGAUCAGUCCAAAAUUUCAAUCUACUGUGAGACACUUGCUGCAUCAAAAAAUUCGGGAUUCAUAUAUGCAUCCUCAAUUCACAACUGAUGUCAUGAAACCUUUGCAAAUUGAGCAAUUAAUGGACCAAGAAGUUGUAAAUCUUUCUGGUGGAGAGCUGCAAAGGGUGGCAUUGUGUCUAUGUCUUGGGAAGCCUGCAGACAUAUAUCUGAUAGAUGAACCAAGUGCUUAUCUUGAUUCAGAGCAGCGUAUUGUUGCCGCAAAGGUGAUAAAGAGAUUUAUCCUUCAUGCAAAGAAAACUGCUUUCGUUGUUGAGCAUGAUUUCAUCAUGGCGACUUACUUGGCUGACAAAGUUAUUGUAUAUGAGGGGAAAGCCUCUCUGGAUUGUACAGCCAAUGCACCUCAGUCAUUGGUAUCUGGGAUGAAUCGCUUCUUAUCUCAUCUCAAUAUUACUUUUAGGCGGGAUCCCACUAACUACAGACCUCGGAUAAACAAGUUGGACUCUACCAAAGAUAGGGACCAGAAAGCUGCUGGAUCUUAUUAUUACCUUGAUGAUUGAUGUAACAAUAGAUUAUACACAGGUCUCUUUUCUCACUCAGGAAAGGGGGUCGGUUAUGGUUGUUUUGGCUAUUUUUUCAUAUUCCCUGUGUGUCAGUGAUGAAGAUGAUUCGGUUGAGAAAACAAUCUGCGACGAUACAUCGAGAUCCACCGUGAUACAUGAAGAUCUGCCAUGAUGCAUGAAGGCCAUCGAUGUCAUAUUUUCUAUCUGAUUGCAGAACUUUAGGUUUGAGUUUUUUCUUCCCCUUUUUGCAGUUCUUUAAUGUUUUAUCUCGAGAUUCCACCCCAAAGGAAAACAUUGGCUAUCGCUUUAGUUCCUAUAAUGAGGCUGUAACUUGAGUUUUAGAAUUGAAGGAGUAGUUUCAUAUAGGUUGCAACGGCCCGUUUGAUGGUGGAGUUACGCCAUCAUCUACCCGUUGAAGAUCUUGCUGGUGGUGAAACGGUUGUCUGCAUAAAUAUUGAUUGAUGCCUACGGAUUCAGAGAUUUUCUUGGUAUGAUAUCUAGCUUUUCAUCACCUUCAGCAGCUGUUGUUAUAGUUGACGAGUAGCAAGCUUUCUCCUGGUUUCAUCAUGUCACCUGGAUUCUUCUCUAUUACUCCUUUGAAUUCUUGUUGGUACUGGGGUAAAACCUUCGAGUUAUCGCCAUUUUGUGGUGUUCUUUUGAUUCUGGAAUGAUGAAGUGAGCCAUUAUAUAUGGAUAUCUUCGUUUCUGAAAAAACUAUCUUAACUGUAACAGCAGCAUUAUAUUAUGGCAGAAUUCUCUCUACCAUUGUC